rnacentral:rRNA from 1 species
UACGUAGGGUGCGAGCGUUAAUCGGAAUUACUGGGCGUAAAGCGUGCGCAGGCGGCUAUUUAAGCUUGCUGUGAAAUCCCCGGGCUUAACCUGGGAACUGCGCUUGUUACUGGCAGGCUUGAGUGUGGCAGAGGGGGGUGGAAUUCCACGUGUAGCAGUGAAAUGCGUAGAGAUGUGGAGGAACACCGAUGGCGAAGGCAGCCCCCUGGGCUAACACUGACGCUCAUGCACGAAAGCGUGGGGAGCAAACAGG